AUGAACGCUGACAGAAUGCUUAACACAUGCAAGUCAACUUGAACUUCGGUUUGGGUGGCGGACGGGUGAGUAACGCGUAAAGAACUUGCCUCACAGAUAGGGACAACAUUUGGAAACGAAUGCUAAUACCUGAUAUUAUGAUUAUAUGGCAUCGUAUAAUUAUGAAAGCUAUAUGCGCUGUGAGAGAGCUUUGCGUCCCAUUAGCUAGUUGGAGAGGUAACGGCUCACCAAGGCGAUGAUGGGUAGCCGGCCUGAGAGGGUGAUCGGCCACAAGGGGACUGAGACACGGCCCUUACUCCUACGGGAGGCAGCAGUGGGGAAUAUUGGACAAUGGACCAAGAGUCUGAUCCAGCAAUUCUGUGUGCACGAUGAAGUUUUUCGGAAUGUAAAGUGCUUUCAGUUGGGAAGAAAAAAUGACGGUACCAACAGAAGAAGUGACGGCUAAAUACGUG
rnacentral:rRNA from 1 species